UACGCUCCUACGGGGAGAAAGCAGGGAGAUCGUCAGACCUUGCACUAUCACAAUAGCCUANGUCGGAUUCGCUUGUUNGUGAUGUGUAACUGGACUCACCAAGGCAGACGAUCCGUAUCUGGUUCUGAGANGACGACCAGUCACACUGGGACUGAACNCGUGNCCAGACUCCUACUGGAGGCAGCAGUGAGGGGAAAUAUGGGNACANACGUGGGGCUGAAAAGCCCUGAUCCANGCCUCUNCCGCGUAUGCUGCUGAAAGAANGGCCUACGGGGAUUGUAAAUGCACUUUAGGCUAUGGNAAGAAACGNUCAAUNGUGGCUAAUACCCUCUGUAUGUNGNUGACUUGUACGGAUACCUGACAGAACAUAAGCACCGGCUACAANAUACUNUGCNCAGCAGCCGCGGUCAAUA
rnacentral:rRNA from 1 species